rnacentral:rRNA from 1 species
GACGAACGCUGGCGGCGUGCUUAACACAUGCAAGUCGAACGGAAAGGCCCCUUUGGGGGUACUCGAGUGGCGAACGGGUGAGUAACACGUGAGUAACCUGCCCUUGACUUCGUGAUAACUUCAGGAAACUGGGGCUAAUACCGGUUAGGAAUCCUUUCUGCAUGGUGGGGGUUGGAAAGCUUCGGGGGUUUUGGAUGGACUCGCUGCUUAUCUGCUUUUUGGUGGGGUAGUGGCUUACCAAGGCUUUUACGGGUAGCCGGCCUGAGAGGGGGACCGGCCAAAUUGGGACUGAGAUAAGGCCAAGACUCCUAAGGGAGGCAGAAGGGGGGAAUAUUGAAAAAUGGGCGGAAGCCUGAUGCAGAAAAGCCGCGGGGGGGAUGACGGCCUUAGGGUUGUAAAACGCUUUCAGCAGGGGCGAAGCUUGUGGUGACGGUACCUGCAGAAGAAGCACCGGCUAACUACGUG